rnacentral:rRNA from 1 species
UACGGAGGGGGCUAGCGUUGUUCGGAAUUACUGGGCGUAAAGCGCACGUAGGCGGCUUUGUAAGUUAGAGGUGAAAGCCCAGGGUUUAACCCUGGAAUUGCCUUUAAGACUGCAUCGCUAGAAUCGUGGAGAGGUAAGUGGAAUUCCGAGUGUAGAGGUGAAAUUCGUAGAUAUUCGGAAGAACAUCAGUGGCGAAGGCGACUUACUGGACACGUAUUGACGCUGAGGUGCGAAAGCGUGGGGAGCAAACAGG